CCAUUUACCUGGCAGGGGAGAUACCAUGAUUACAAAGGUGGUUUUCCCAGGGCGAGGCUGAUCCAUUGCAUUCCGAGACCAGCUGAUCCCUGUGAUUUCCCCACAAGGGGGAAACUCAACUGCAUAAUUUGUGUUGGUGGGGGAUUGCAUGCAUGCUCCCCCCUC